rnacentral:rRNA from 1 species
AGAGUUUGAUCCUGGCUCAGAUUGAACGCUGGCGGCAGGCCUAACACAUGCAGGUCGAACGGUAACAGAAAGUAGCUUGCUACUUUGCUGACGAGUGGCGGACGGGUGAGUAAUGUCUGGGAAACUGCCUGAUGGAGGGGGGUAACUACUGGAAACGGUAGCUAAUACCGCAUAACGUCGCAAGACCAAAGAGGGGGACCUUCGGGCCUCUUGCCAUCAGAUGUGCCCAGAUGGGAUUAGCUAGUAGGUGGGGUAACGGCUCACCUAGGCGACGAUCCCUAGCUGGUCUGAGAGGAUGACCAGCCACACUGGAACUGAGACACGGUCCAGACUCCUACGGGAGGCAGCAAUGGGGAAUAUUGCACAAUGGGCGCAAGCCUGAUGCAGCCAUGCCGCGUGUAUGAAGAAGGCCUUCGGGUUGUAAAGUACUUUCAGCGGGGAGGAAGGCGGUGAGGUUAAUAACCUCACCGAUUGACGUUACCCGCAGAAGAAGCACCGGCUAACUCCGUGCCAGCAGCCGCGGUAAUACGGAGGGUGCAAGCGUUAAUCGGAAUUACUGGGCGUAAAGCGCACGCAGGCGGUCUGUCAAGUCGGAUGUGAAAUCCCCGGGCUCAACCUGGGAACUGCAUUCGAAACUGGCAGGCUAGAGUCUUGUAGAGGGGGGUAGAAUUCCAGGUGUAGCGGCGAAAUGCGUAGAGAUCUGGAGGAAUACCGGUGGCGAAGGCGGCCCCCUGGACAAAGACUGACGCUCAGGUGCGAAAGCGUGGGGAGCAA